GGGGACCCAGAAUGCAGCUCGAGACAGCAGUGGAGCCGCUCCAGGCCCGCUGGCAUCGCUCUGCAGCCAGACACCCUCCAUUGUCAGCCCUUGGGGGGCACAGCCCUGCAUGGCCACACGGCCACAAGGCCAGGCCUGGCUUUAGGGGCUGUCCCCUGGGCUGGCUGCAGGAGGGGGUGACAGCUGGGGGGACAGCAGGGCUCGCAGCCCCCCGGCAGCCGGGGGGAGAUGAGCUCGCAGGAUGAGCAGUUCCCAGCAGCAGCCCCCGAGCCGGCGGGCAGCGACGAGGGCAUGACCUGGUGGUACAGGUGGCUCUGCAGGAUUGCCGGGGUCAUCGGGGGCAUGUCCUGUGCCUUUGCUGGUCUCUGGAACUGUGUCACCAUCAACCCCCUGAACAUUGCAGCCGGCGUGUGGAUGAUGCUCAACGCUUUCAUCCUGUUCCUGUGCGAGGCUCCUUUCUGCUGCCAGUUCAUCGAGUUCGCCAACGCCGUGUCCGCCAGGGCCGACAGGCUGCGGGCCUGGCAGAAAGCCGCCUUCUACUGCGGGAUGGCCGUGUUCCCCGUGCUGCUCAGCCUGACGCUCACCACGCUCUUCGGCAACGCCAUCGCCUUCGCCACCGGCGUGCUCUACGGCCUGUCGGCCCUCGGGAAGAAGGGAGACGCCAUCUCCUACGCCCGCAUCCACCAGCAGCAGAAGCAGAUGGAUGAAGAGAAGCUCACGGGGACCCUGGAGGGACAGGCUCUCUGAAGGACACAGGGUAGCAUCUCCUGGACACUGAGAUGGUGAAGAGAUGUGGAAAUCCACUCUGCCCUUCCCUCUGUGCUCUCCAUCCCUGCUACACCACGAUUUCCCUGGAUGCUGCAGCAGCUGGAAAUCUCAGGGGCUGGGGCAGGCUGUCCCCUCCUCACACCAGCAGCCAGACCUCAGCAAGUUGCUCCUUCUCCAACCCUCAACCCAGUAUCUCAUAUUUGUUAAUUUUUAAAUUUUUCUUUUUGCUGCAGAGGUGCUGGCUCUCUGAGUGCUGCUUUCCCAGCCUUUUUUCUGUUUUGGAGUGCCCUUUUGGGGACUGCCCUCUGGAUGGGUGAGGAGGGACAGAGGACCUGUUUAGGAGCUCCCUGGGAUGGCCCUUCCCAGGGAAAAACAUCCACUGUCUUCAGGGAAGGGUUUCACUGAAGUGAAGAUAUCAAGACCUGGUCCAUAGCCAUGUGAGAAAGAGAAUGCUCGAGCACAGGGCUGCCAGAAAUCCUGAUCUUCAGAAGGUCAGUGGAAACCAGAGGCCCUUGAGACCUCUUGUAGUCAGGCCAUGCUUAGAAAAAGUUGUGUUCCAGCCAGGGCUGAACAUCUUUCUGGAAAAGGGUCUCAGCAGCAAAGGGUAGGUUUAAUACUGACUGCUUUCUGUGUUUUUUAUUUUGGCCCACCACUCUCCCUCUGUCCUAGGCUGUUUUGAAUUAAUGCUGUGAUAAAGCACAUCUUCUCUUAGGUGAUUUCUCAUCUCCUGCUGCAGGAGAUGAAAAUGGCAGCUGGCACAUCUGGAGGGCUGGCUCAAACAUGCUAUUUCCUUAGGACAGCAGGCUGAAUGUCCCGGGAAGAGCCCUCAGGGUGCCAAGUGCACUUCAGGAGCUUGGAUAAAUGCUUGGGCACAUCAUGUCCCAGCUCAGCUCUGUGCUUCUGCCCUCUUGGGAGGAGUCAGGUUGGGCUGAGCAAAACCAUUUGUUCCUCACAGCCAUAAGCACCUCCUGCAGCCGUGUUUUACCUCGGGUUAGCUCUAAAAAAUGAUGAUAAAAAACUCUUAAUCCUGCAGGACACACAGGAAAGGGGUAAGACUGAUUUGCUACUAACUAUGCAGUUGAAAUCUCAAAGUGAUGGAGGUGGAGGCACUUCCACCCCCCUCUUUGUGGAUGGGUCAAACCCCACGGUGGGAAGGACCCACCCCAGCACAAAGUGUUGUCAGUACUCACUGUGUCUUUCCCACAGGGAAUCACUUGCACUACAGCUGAAUGUUUGUCUGUUCCCAUUCUUUUGUCCUGGGUUUUCUUUGUGAACUGUAUUUGGUCUUGUUCAUUAGGCUUCUAGUGUAAUGUGUGUUUUUAGAGCAAUAAAACGUGGCAGCUUUUUAU